rnacentral:rRNA from 1 species
UAACCUACCCAUCAGAGGGGGAUAACACUUGGAAACAGGUGCUAAUACCGCAUAACAGUUUAUGCCGCAUGGCAUAAGAGUGAAAGGCGCUUUCGGGUGUCGCUGAUGGAUGGACCCGCGGUGCAUUAGCUAGUUGGUGAGGUAACGGCUCACCAAGGCCACGAUGCAUAGCCGACCUGAGAGGGUGAUCGGCCACACUGGGACUGAGACACGACCCAG